rnacentral:rRNA from 1 species
CAACCUGCCCAUCACUUGGGGAUAACCUUGCGAAAGUAAGACUAAUACCCAAUGACGUCUCUAGAAGACAUCUGAAAGAGAUUAAAGAUUUAUCGGUGAUGGAUGGGGAUGCGUCAGAUUAGCUUGUUGGCGGGGUAACGGCCCACCAAGGCGACGAUCAGUAGGGGUUCUGAGAGGAAGGUCCCCCACAUUGGAACUGAGACACGGUCCAAACUCCUACGGGAGGCAGCAGUGAGGAAUAUUGGUCAAUGGGCGAGAGCCUGAACCAGCCAAGUAGCGUGCAGGAUGACGGCCCUAUGGGUUGUAAACUGCUUUUAUAAGGGAAUAAAGUGAGUCUCGUGAGACUUUUUGCAUGUACCUUAUGAAUAAGGACCGGCUAAUUCCGUGCCAGCAGCCGCGGUAAUACGGAAGGUCCGGGCGUUAUCCGGAUUUAUUGGGUUUAAAGGGAGCGUAGGCCGGAGAUUAAGCGUGUUGUGAAAUGUAGACGCUCAACGUCUGCACUGCAGCGCGAACUGGUUUCCUUGAGUACGCACAAAGUGGGCGGAAUUCGUGGUGUAGCGGUGAAAUGCUUAGAUAUCACGAAGAACUCCGAUUG